UACGAAGGGGACUAGCGUUGUUCGGAAUUACUGGGCGUAAAGCGCGUGUAGGCGGCCCUGUAAGUCGGGUGUGAAAUCCCACGGCUCAACCGUGGAAGUGCAUUCGAAACUACAGGUCUAGAGUUCUGGAGAGGAAGGUGGAAUGCUUAGUGUAGAGGUGAAAUUCGUAGAUAUCAAGCAGAACACCGGUGGCGAAGGCGGCCUUCUGGACAGUAACUGACGCUGAGACGCGAAAGCGUGGGGAGCAAACAGG
rnacentral:rRNA from 1 species